rnacentral:rRNA from 1 species
UACGUAAGGGGCAAGCGUUGUCCGGAUUUAUUGGGCGUAAAGAGCGUGUAGGCGGCCAGGUAGGUCUGCUGUGAAAACUCGAGGCUUAACCUCGAGCUGUCGGCGGAAACCAUCUGGCUAGAGUCCGGAAGAGGAGAAUGGAAUUCCCGGUGUAGCGGUGAAAUGCGCAGAUAUCAGGAAGAACACCAACGGCGAAGGCAGCUCGCUGGGACGGAACUGACGCUAAGGCGCGAAAAGCGUGGGGAGCGAACG